CCUACUGCCUUGCUACCGGGCGGCGACCGCGGGAAUAAAACUUUUUGUUUUAUUACGCUCCCGCCGGCCCAUUUGCACUACUGCCUUGCUACUGGGCGCGGCUCGGUUUGGAAUAAUUUUUCUCCAAAAAUCAAUGUUUGGUGAAAAUUUUGCCUACUGCCUUGCUACCGGGCGGCGACCGCGGGAAUAAAACUUUUUGUUUUAUUACGCUCCCGCCGGCCCAUUUGCACUACUGCCUUGCUACUGGGCGCGGCUCGGUUUGGAAUAAUUUUUCUCCAAAAAUCAAUGUUUGGUGAAAAUUUUGCCUACUGCCUUGCUACUUGGCGUCGAAUUGGAAUUGGUUUGGAAUUCACCAAGAUCGUAUUACUGGCUUGUACCCGGACGUUAGCUAUGAAUUGGUUUGGAAUUCACCAAGAUCGUAUUACUGGCUUGUACUAGGCGUCGAAUUGGAAUUGAACCAAAUUCACCAAGAUCAUACUACUGCCUUGCUACUAGGCGUCGAAUUGGAAUUGAACCAAAUUCACCAAGAUCAUACUACUGCCUUGCUACUAGGCGUCGAAUUGGAAUUGAACCAAAUUCACCAAGAUCAUACUACUGCCUUGCUACUAGGCGUCGAAUUGGAAUUGAACCAAAUUCACCAAGAUCGUACUACUGGCUUGUACCUGGACGUGAAAAUGAAAUCUCGUCUAAAAUGUCACUACUGGCUUGUUACUGAAGCAGUAGCAGUGCAGUAGUGGUCGAAAUGCCCGAUUUGGCCAGUUUUGCUAUCGUAAAUGGAUCUCGAUAGCAGCGCGCACUUUGAAAAAUGCAUUCUUGUACCCAAAUCUAUGCACAGGGCUGCAGUAGUGCCUGCCAGUAGCAGUUUUGAGCCAAAUUCGUCAAGUUGGCCGGAAAUUUUUUUUGGUGACAAGAUAGCAAAUUGUCUAGAAUGGUUAUAAAAGUGAGUUACAUAGUCCAUAGUGUCGUAUUUAGUGAGAAAACAGCAAAACACGGAUCGGGAAUCGAUCUGUGCACGGAUCAAAGUGCUCGAAAUGGACUGCAGAUAGCAUAUCUAGUCGUCUUAUGCCUAGUCUAGCACAGAAAUAUAGUUUAGUCGCACUCUGCAAACGAUAAUUUGGCAGUUCACUUUUCGAACGGCCCUUAUGCCUGUAAAAAAGUGAACUGGGAAAUACGAUGGAAAAGGCGGCCGUUCCAGAAUCGGCCAUAUUAGCCUGACUAGACUGCAUCCCGUCCGCUCUGCAAAGUUAACCAGGCUCAAGCGUGGGUAGUACUCAGGUGGGUGACCACUGGGGAAGUCCACGUGCUGAUUCUUUUUGCACAUCCAUUUACACAUCCUUGAUUACGAAAUUUUUUACCACAUGGUGUCACACACAGGCUUGUUCGGGGAUCGACUGGCCGGCGGCAAUCGUCGCCGCGAGCUCGACGCAUGCCAAUAUCUCCGCUUCUAGGCCUUCCCGCGCGACGCCACUUGGAGACAACACGUAUAACAUCAAUACAAAACAUAUCCUAGCUUCAUAGCGCGCGCGCCGACUCGGAAUACCCGCAAAUGUCGUACCAGCCUGUCUCAGGAUGGCGGCACAGGCCUCGGCGAGCUCGACAAACCUCCAUAUCUUCACUACCAGGUCGUCCCACGUGACGCCACUUUCGGAGCACCUGUUUAACAUCAUUACAAAGCAUAUCCUAGCUCGGCUGCAUGGGCGCCGAUUCGGAAGACUCACAGACCCGUUCGUUGAGUCAAUCCCGUAUGCAGCUCAGCAUGCUCGAUUGGUUGAACUGCACUUGUAGAGAUCGGAUUGACGCCGGUCGCGCUUGAUUAUCGCGUAUGGCACUAGUACAAGCAUGUGUGCGUCGUCACAAUACGAAAUUGCCGCUACAGGCCAAAUGCGACGCGAUUUAUCGGUCCGACAUCAAAAUCACUAAUCGACGAAUAAAGCGUGUUCCGCCCGAAUCUUCGCAAGGUCGUUACAUAUAUCGACGCAGCUCAUUACCAGCAACAUGAAGGUGUCCCCGAUGAAAACGCUGUUUCGGUUUCCGCUUUUGCUCGAGAUAUUGU